AUGUGCAAGCACCUGCAAAAUCUCGAAGGGCCAUUGGCCGAUCUUUAUUAUAUGAAGAAAAAAUCUCGAAGGGCCAUUGGCCGAUCUUUAUUAUAUAAAGAAGAACGUACAACAAUAUCUAACAGUUCAGGAGCUCUGGAACUGUUAGUACAUGGAGAGCCGGUGGAAAGAAAUAACAAGGGAACAACACCAAAUCAGAGAGGCUAUUGGAGUAUGGAAACCCUAAACCCUAAGCACCUGCAAAAUCACCAGAAAAUUUGCAGAGAUCACAUAAUCUAUCUAUUCCACGACACUAAACUGGUCAGUUUGCAUAAAAGCACUGGGGACAUAGAAUAA
rnacentral:rRNA from 1 species